GAAGUCUGAUGGAGCAACGCCGCGUGAGUGAUGAAGGUUUUCGGAUCGUAAAACUCUGUUGUAAGGGAAGAACCAGUACGUCAGGCAAUGGACGUACCUUGACGGUACCUUAUUAGAAAGCCACGGCUAACUACGUGCCAGCAGCCGCGGUAAUACGAAGGGGGCUAGCGUUGCUCGGAAUUACUGGGCGUAAAGGGCGCGUAGGCGGAUCGUUAAGUCAGAGGUGAAAUCCCAGGGCUUAACCCUGGAACUGCCUUUGAUACUGGCGAUCUUGAGUAUGAGAGAGGUAUGUGGAACUCCGAGUGUAGAGGUGAAAUUCGUAGAUAUUCGGAAGAACACCAGUGGCGAAGGCGACAUACUGGCUCAUUACUGACGCUGAGGCGCGAAAGCGUGGGGAGCAAACA
rnacentral:rRNA from 1 species